CUGGGGAGUACGCCGGCAACGGUGAAACUCAAAGGAAUUGACGGGGGCCCGCACAAGCGGAGGAACAUGUGGUUUAAUUCGAUGAUACGCGAGGAACCUUACCCGGGCUCAAACGCCGAAGGGACAUUCCCCGAAAGGGGAUUGGCCAGCAAUGGUCUUCGGCGAGGUGCUGCAUGGUUGUCGUCAGCUCGUGCCGUGAGGUGUCGGCUUAAGUGCCAUAACGAGCGCAACCCCCACCGACAGUUGCUAACUGGUCAAGCAGAGGACUCUGUCGGGACUGCCGGCGCAAGCUGCGAGGAAGGCGGGGAUGACGUCAAAUCAGCACGGCCCUUACGUCCGGGGCGACACACGUGUUACAAUGGCAGGUACAGCGGGAUGCCAUGGGGCGACCCAGAGCGGAACCCGAAAACCUGUCUCAGUUCGGAUUGGAGUCUGCAACCCGACUCCAUGAAGCUGGAUUCGCUAGUAAUCGCGCAUCAGCCACGGCGCGGUGAAUACGUUCCCGGGCCUUGUACACACCGCCCGUCAAGCCAUGGGAGCCGGGGGUGCCUGAAGGCCGUGACCGCGAGGAGCGGCCUAGGGUAAAACUGGUGACUGGGGCUAAGUCGUAACAAGGUAACCGUAA
rnacentral:rRNA from 1 species